CACAAGUUAACACCUAUAAUCUAAUUUGCCAAGUUAGAGAGCAAAAAAUGAGGAAGGAAAGCUCUAGAGAACUACGAGAGUAAGGUCGCUAUAGCUUACACGAGAGAGAGGCUUCGAGUCAGAGAAGACCUAAGAUCUGGCAGUCACUUUGGGAAAUUGCAUAUGUAGCUGCCAAAAAAACAAUCUAUUCCGUGGAAUACAAUUUCUCUUGUGGUGAAUAAGAUUUACCGCUUAAUAUUAUAGAGUGUGUUCGUGGCCAGUACACGAUUUUGUUUGCCACUAGUUUUUGCCUUGAACAGAGAAGUGUUUCAGAACUAUAUUACUUUUAGCAGAGCAUGUAUCGGUUGCAAAAUUAAAGCGAUUCCAUCUGUACCAUAUUUCUCUGUUUUUUCAGGUAAUUAAAAACAGCACAUCACUUUGUAAUUAUAAGGAGAGGACAUAGCAAGUUGCUUUGGGAAAUUGACUAAGAAAAUACACACAAGUGUUUUUGUUUUUUUUAACCUUUGCCUCAUAAAACAGGAUGAAUUGAAAAAAAAAACCCUGACAAGUAUUUCCAUAUUUCUGAAAACAGGUUUAAAUGGUGUUGAAUGGAUUUGAUUAUUUCUUUCUCUGGCUAUCAUAUGCUACUUCAACGGUCUGGUUCGCUGGUGUAAAGAUAAAAGGAGAAUCGUACAUAAAAACUUGACCACUUUAUUUGCAGAAAAAGAUGUCAGGUGUUCUACAGAAGGUUUGGACCACAGCGUUUAUCCUUGGAUUCAUGUGGGAUCUGGCUAAUGGGAGCUUUGUGAAAAAUCACAUUCGCUCGAGUUUUAUUCAAAGAAAACUGAGUGGCAGGGAAAAACGUGAGAUGCAGAGGGAGAUUCUCUCCAUUCUAGGACUGCCUGGAAGACCCCGACCCACGGGUGGGGGCCAGUUUCCUUCAUCGGCCCCUCUCUUUAUGCUGGAUCUUUAUCAUGCAAUGUGCAGCGAGGAAGAAGAAGAUGGGACUCAAGGAGUGUCCAGGGCUCUGUUCACAUCCUUAAGCACACAAAGCCCCCCUUUGGGAGCAGUGAUUAGCGAGGCCGACACUGUCAUGAGCUUUGUCAAUAUGGGU